rnacentral:rRNA from 1 species
GGACUACUAGGGUUUCUAAUCCCGUUCGCUACCCUAGCUUUCGCGCCUCAGCGUCAGUAGAGGUCCAGCACGUCGCUUUCGCCACCGGCGUUCCUUCGGAUAUCAACGCAUUUCACCGCUCCACCCGAAGUUCCACAUGCCCCUACCUCCCUCGAGACCCGCAGUUUCCAAGGCACUUCCCCAGUUGAGCUGGGGGCUUUCACCCCGGACUUGCAGGCCCGCCUACGCGCCCUUUAAGCCCAGUGAUUCCGAACAACGUUCGCACGGUUCGUCUUACCGCGGCUGCUGGCAC